UAAUAAGUGUUUUAUGGCACUUUUUAAAUCCAUAUCCACCUUGUGUGCAAUGUCAGUCGAUCUUCUUCAUGGAGAUCGACCAAACAUCAACCUUUAUUUUUUAACUCUUUGUCUGAAAAAUAUUAUGAAUAAACAAUUCAAGAUA
rnacentral:misc_RNA from 1 species